UACGUAGGUGGCAAGCGUUGUCCGGAAUUACUGGGCGUAAAGGGCGUGUAGGCGGCCAAUUAAGUCAGAUGUGAAAUCCCCGGGCUUAACCUGGGAACUGCAUUUGAGACUGGAUGGCUUGAGGACCGGAGAGGGUAGUGGAAUUCCUAGUGUAGCGGUGAAAUGCGUAGAUAUUAGGAGGAACACCAGUGGCGAAGGCGACUACCUGGACGGCACCUGACGCUGAGGCGCGAAAGCCAGGGUAGCAAAC
rnacentral:rRNA from 1 species